rnacentral:rRNA from 1 species
GGCAACUCUGAUCCAGCCAUGCCGCGUGUAGGAAGACUGCCCUAUGGGUUGUAAACUACUUUUAUAGAGGAAGAAACAGUAUUACGUGUAAUACUCUGACGGUACUCUACGAAUAAGGAUCGGCUAACUCCGUGCCAGCAGCCGCGGUAAUACGGAGGAUCCAAGCGUUAUCCGGAAUCAUUGGGUUUAAAGGGUCCGUAGGCGGGUUUGUAAGUCAGAGGUGAAAGUUUUCGGCUCAACCGGAAAAUUGCCAUUGAUACUGCAAGUCUUGAAUUAUUGUGAAGUGGUUAGAAUAUGUAGUGUAGCGGUGAAAUGCAUAGAUAUUACAUAGAAUACCGAUU